CCAGCAUGCACCAGUGCCGGAAGCUGUGCAGGAAGGUGACUCCAAGACAGGAGCCCUUCCCGGGAAGCUGGGCUCUUAACCCGGGUGGGGGGGGCAGCAAACCUGGUGAAUGGGCUACUUCCCCACCCUGACCCAGCUUCCUGCUAUACUAGGGCCAGGUGGGGAGGGGGUCAGCAGGAGCUGGUCAGGCUAAGGCGCUGAGGGCUGAAGGCGUGGUUCCUGCUUUCCUUGAAGGUCUUAAGGGACAUCCUUUUCAGUCCUGACUCCACCUGCAAGACAGUGGGGCAUCCUGUUCAUGGAGGAAGUCCUGGCUCCACAGGAAGCCCCCUCCCCACAGAGGUCCGACCUUCUCAGGAGACCUGACAUCCUGACUCCUCUACCCACAGCAUGAGGAAGGUUCCAGAAGCUUCCUGAAAGAAGCCACCACCUGCUGAGCAGCUGAGUCUGUUUUUCUGACAAGCUCUGAGCUCCGGACACGGCAACAAGAUCCCGGCAUAGUGGGGAUGGGUCCCCUCCCUUUAUAAACUCAGACUCCUAAGUAAACAUUGGGUCUUGAUCAGGAA